rnacentral:rRNA from 1 species
UGCCUAUACCGGGCCGCCGGUCGGCAGUGUACAACGUAUUCUCCUCGAAGAGAGGCAGAGACGCUGAGGCCCCGGCGAGUAGGGGGGUCGCGGCGGUGAGCGUUGAAGGGUUGUGGGCGUGAGCCUGCCCGGAGCCGCCGUCGGUGCAGAUCUUGGUGGUAGUAGCAAAUACUCCAGAGGGAUCCUGGAGGACUGACGCGGAGAAGGGUUUCAUGUGAACAGUGGUUGGACAUGAGUCAGUCGAUCCUAAGCCGCAGGAGAAAUCCGACCUAGUGUACUGGCGUGAUUUUAUACUGUCGACAGUGUGUCACGGUGUGUGUGUGUGUGUGUGUGUGUGUGUGCUUGCGCGAGAGCGUACGUACGGGGGCAUAUAUAUUCACAUUAUACAUCGUCAUACGAGACAUAUUUAUCAAGAGGCGCCGCUGGGUGAAGGCGAAAGGGAAUCCGGUCCUAAUUCCGGAACCAGGCUGCGGCUACGUCCGCGAAAUACGAAUUAACCCUCGUUUUCUCGGUCGCGGCAACGCGACACAAACCGGAGAAGCUGUCGAGAACCCCGGGAAGAGUUUUCUUUUCUGCUUGAGGGACCGAGACCAUGGAAUUCCGUCGUGGAGCGAGAUGGUUUUGGAUACACGCUGUUAAAAAGGCGAUCCCGAAGAGCGCCGCGUUUCUGCGGCGUCCGUGGUCGUUCUCGACUGGCCCUUGAAAAUCCGGCGGGAGGGUUACGUUUUUGGACGUUCGCGCCUGCUCGUACCGAUAUCCGCAUCAGGUCUCCUAGGUGAACAGCCUCUAGUCGAUAGAAGAAUGUAGGUAA